rnacentral:rRNA from 1 species
GACGGAGGGGGCUAGCGUUGUUCGGAAUUACUGGGCGUAAAGAGUGCGUAGGCGGCUUAGUAAGUUGGAAGUGAAAGCCCGAGGCUUAACCUCGGAACUGCUUUCAAAACUACUAAUCUAGAGUGUAGUAGGGGAUGAUGGAAUUCCUAGUGUAGAGGUGAAAUUCUUAGAUAUUAGGAGGAACACCGGUGGCGAAGGCGGUCAUCUGGGCUACAACUGACGCUGAUGCACGAAAGCGUGGGGAGCAAACAGG